AGCCAUGGUGAUGGACGCAGUGAGGUCUCCUAAACCUCAACAUCAGGGUUCGAAUCCCUGCAUGGCUAC
rnacentral:tRNA from 1 species